rnacentral:rRNA from 1 species
ACGGGAGGCAGCAGUGAGGAAUAUUGGUCAAUGGGCGGAAGCCUGAACCAGCCAUCUCGCGUGCAGGACUACGGCCCUACGGGUCUUAAACUGCUUUUAUGGGGGGAUAAAGUCGGGCAUUCGUGUCCGUUUGCAGGUACCCCAUGAAUAAGGAUCGGCUAACUCCGUGCCAGCAGCCGCGGUAAUACGGAGGAUCCGAGCGUUAUCCGGAUUUAUUGGGUUUAAAGGGUGCGCAGGCGGCCCGUUAAGUCAGCGGUGAAAUGUCGGGGCUCAACCCGGGCACUGCCGUUGAAACUGGGGGGCUUGAGUACGGAUGAGGUCGGCGGAAUGUGACGUGUAGCGGUGAAAUGCAUAGAUAUCACGAAGAACUCCGAUUGCGAAGGCAGCCAUCUGGCGUGUUACUGACGCUCAUGCUCGAAGGUGCGGGUAUCAAACAGGAUUAGAUACCCUGGUA